rnacentral:lncRNA from 1 species
GCACCAUGAUUUCUAAAAGGUGAGGAAAUCACUUGCUUGACUGCUUCAGUGCAGCUUGCCAUUUUUUUUGAGAUUUCUUAGUUUAGUUAGAAAUGUUCAAUUUGGAUUUGCACCACAAUUUCUAAUCAUUCAAUGAAGGUUUGACUUUUUUGUAUCCAUUUAUGCUGCUUCAUCUACAGUGAGUUUUAAGAUAUAUUUGAUGUGGACUGCUUCAUAGCAUCAUUGAGAGGACGUUUGAAUGCGGAAAGAGUUGACUCCAUUCUGCCCGUCAGUUGGUAUUACCAUAAUCAGCUUUGCUUGAAUCUCUGAAUUAUAUGCACAUCUAGAUAAGGAUUGUCGGUGUUUAUUUUGGAGAAAAUAGAUUCAAAAGAUAUCAAUUAGAUAAUGAUUUGUCUUUCCAUGUACAUACUAUUGUUGUAUGAGAUUCUUUCUACGCAUAAUAUAUACUACUUUUGGGUUUGUUACUCAGUAUCUAUAAACCACUCGGAAUUAUAGGAGUACCUCUAACUAAACAAAUGGUUAUUUUAAAGGUUAAACUACUGCAUACUCUGGUGUCAUGAUCUUGUCGCUCAUGUACUGGAUUUAGAAAUUGGAAAGUCAAAAAAAAGGAAACUAAUGCUAUUGACCCCAGUUAGACCAUUUUGCUGAAGACUCGAAGAAUCUAAACUAGCCAUCACUGAUGGAAGCUCUUCCUCUUUGGUGGUGGACAGAAGGAGCACGGGUGCCCGGGACGACGACAACGACAAGCCAAAGGAGACACCGUGGAUUCGUUGCCCGCUUCCGCUGCUGCUCGUGCAGACUCUGCACCAACCCGGCCUUGAACUACCCCAUCUUAUAUACACAACGCCCCCAAUUUUUAGGUACGAUGCCCUCUCCAGUCCCACUGUUUUCGCUGUUUAGUCUGAUGAUUUCCGCAGAUCCGUGGGUUUCUCAUGUGUGCAUUUUCCCUUUAUUCUUGUAGCCACCAAGGCCAUGGACUGGGACCUGUGUGUUCAUUUGAAGUGUUGGUUUGAGAGAUUUUUGUGCCCUGACAAUGAGUGAGGCACUUGUGAUAUUGCAAGUCCUGAUACAAGGCAUGUCCUCUUUUUUAUCCAUAAACUUUGCAAUGUCCAUCUAUUGUACUCCCUNNN